rnacentral:rRNA from 1 species
CACGUAUGCAACCUUCCUUCAGCUGGAGAAUAGCCCGAAGAAAUUCGGAUUAACUCUCCAUAGUAAAACAGAACGGCAUCGUUUUGUUUUUAAACCUCCGGGAGUUGAAGAUGGGCAUGCGUUGCAUUAGCUAGUUGGCGGGGUAAAAGCCCACCAAGGCUACGAUGCAUAGGGGAUCUGAGAGGACUAACCCCCACACUGGUACUGAGACACGGACCAGACUCCUACGGGAGGCAGCAGUAAGGAAUAUUGGACAAUGGGGGCAACCCUGAUCCAGCCAUGCCGCGUGAAGGAUGAAGGCGCUAUGCGUUGUAAACUUCUUUUGAACGGGGGAAAACCCACUUACGUGUAAGUGGCUGAUAGUACCGUUAGAAUAAGGAUCGGCUAACUCCGUGCCAGCAGCCGCGGUAAUACGGAGGAUCCAAGCGUUAUCCGGAUUCAUUGGGUUUAAAGGGUGCGUAGGCGGACUGAUAAGUCAGCGGUGAAAUCUCUCGGCUUAACCGAGAAACUGCCGUUGAUACUGUCAGUCUUGAGUACAGAUGAUGUGGGCGGAAUAUGACAUGUAGUGGUGAAAUACUUACAUAUGUCAUAGAACACCGAUUGCGAAGGCAGCUCACAAAACUGUCACUGACGC